AGUUUGAUCCUGGCUCAAGACGAACGCUGGCGGCGUGCCUAACACAUGCAAGUCGAGCGAAUGAAAUUCCUUCGGGAACGGAUUUAGCGGCGGACGGGUGAGUAACACGUGGGCAACCUGCCUCAUAGAGGGGAAUAGCCUUCCGAAAGGGAGAUUAAUACCGCAUAAGAUUGUAGUACCGCAUGGUACAGCAAUUAAAGGAGCAAUCCGCUAUGAGAUGGGCCCGCGGCGCAUUAGCUAGUUGGUGAGGUAACGGCUCACCAAGGCGACGAUGCGUAGCCGACCUGAGAGGGUGAUCGGCCACAUUGGGACUGAGACACGGCCCAGACUCCUACGGGAGGCAGCAGUGGGGAAUAUUGCACAAUGGGGGAAACCCUGAUGCAGCAACGCCGCGUGAGUGAUGACGGCCUUCGGGUUGUAAAGCUCUGUCUUCAGGGACGAUAAUGACGGUACCUGAGGAGGAAGCCACGGCUAACUACGUGCCAGCAGCCGCGGUAUACGUAGGUGGCGAGCGUUGUCCGGAUUUACUGGGCGUAAAGGGAGCGUAGGCGGAUUUUUAAGUGAGAUGUGAAAUACUCGGGCUUAACCUGAGUGCUGCAUUUCAAACUGGAAGUCUAGAGUGCAGGAGAGGAGAAGGGAAUUCCUAGUGUAGCGGUGAAAUGCGUAGAGAUUAGGAAGAACACCAGUGGCGAAGGCGCUUCUCUGGACUGUAACUGACGCUGAGGCUCGAAAGCGUGGGGAGCAAACAGGAUUAGAUACCCUGGUAGUCCACGCGGUAAACGAUGAAUACUAGGUGUAGGGGGUAUCGACUCCCUCUGUGCCGCAGUUAACGCAAUAAGUAAUCCACCUGGGGAGUACGGCCGCAAGGUUAAAACUCAAAGGAAUUGACGGGGGCCCGCACAAGCAGUGGAGUAUGUGGUUUAAUUCGAAGCAACGCGAAGAACCUUACCAGGGCUUGACAUCCUCUGAACGGUGUAGAGAUACACUUUCCCUUCGGGGCAGAGAGACAGGUGGUGCAUGGUUGUCGUCAGCUCGUGUCGUGAGAUGUUCGGUUAAGUCCGGCAACGAGCGCAACCCCUAUUGUUAGUUGCCAUCAUUCAGUUGGGCACUCUAGCGAGACUGCCGUUAACAAAACGGAGGAAGGUGGGGACGACGUCAAAUCAUCAUGCCCCUUAUGUCCUGGGCUACACACGUACUACAAUGGUAACAACAGCGAGAAGCCAGACCGCGAGGUUGAGCGGAUCUUGAAAUGUUAUCUCAGUUCAGAUUGCAGGCUGCAACUCGCCUGCAUGAAGUAGGAAUUGCUAGUAAUGGCAGGUCAGCAUACUGCCGUGAAUACGUUCCCGGGCCUUGCACUCACCGCCCGUCA
rnacentral:rRNA from 1 species